CGUUCUAUUGCCGAAUUGGUAAAAAUAAUUAAUAAUUAAUAAUUAAUAAUAAUUAAUUUUGGUAAUUGGUGAUCACAGGCGAGGGUGCGGGUUCGAGUCCCGCUGGAACGA
rnacentral:tRNA from 1 species